rnacentral:snoRNA from 1 species
UGGCAAUGAUUACAUACUAUCCGCGCUUCUGAGAGUAAUCUAUGAAGCAUAAUAAGGUAAAUUAAUGGUUGAAUUUCUUGAUAUGAACCC